rnacentral:sRNA from 1 species
CGCUCUAUUAUUAUUAUUGUUGUUGUUGUUGUUGUUAUUGUUAUUGCUAUUGCAGUUCCACUGCGUCCACUGCCCCAGAUGUAACGUCGACGGAGAAAAGCCAAAAAGUUGGAGGAUAUUAAACCCCUGUUCUAGCUAGCUCACUGUUCCAUCCCAAUUAUUGAGCCAGCUUCAUCGAUUGGGUGUAUGCAAAGGACAACCGCCGACGACAGUUCCCGCCCUGUUCGAUCAGUUGCUGAUCUGGGCCCAUGGUAUGGUAUGGAGCGUGCAAAGCUGCCCGCCAAAGCUGCAGAUAGCGGAGUGAGCGCCCCGGAUCGAUUCGAAAAGAAUGCCAUUGUGGGGCGAAGAAACACGGCGCACUCUGGCGCUUGCUAGCCGGUCGGCAAAACAGGAUUUAGGAGCGGGAUCUACAUAGCAAGGGAAAAAAAGCCCAGGGGAAUAUUGUCGCUCGGUUGAUCAGGUUGACGAUAGAGAUGAGCAGGGCGGCGGAUACAGUACGUACAUUGCCCUGACAGCGAUGAUAUUCCACGAAGAUGAAUAAUAACAUCUAUCAAAAAUGCUACAAAAAUGCUACGGGUAUGGCAGUACUCUUGCAAAAGCAAGUCGCAGGCACGCCAAUAACGCCCUCGACGGUGAUAAUAGCUACGACAUGAAAAACCACUGGUUGGGGACAUACAACUAUAACCCUGCAAAGCCAUAGACGGUUAUCUAGAUAGGAAUGCUCCGCAGGCUGCUCUAACUGAAAGGCAAACUCCAGCCUUGUAUCCUCAGCUAAGAUACCAAACACCAAUAUAUCACAAAAAGAAAACAGCAUGUUCUCCGUCCUACUUCUUCCUGCAGACAAAAAUUGGGCCAACAGGUUUAAAUUAGAUGCUGGUGAAGCAAGCGAAGCAAUUAGGGGGAGAGUCCCCACAACAACACGUCAUAUACGGCAAACAUGAAUUGAGCAUAAACAAAGAGAGGCCAAGGGCGAUAUCCAGAGCUUGCGGUUCAAAAGUGGGCGAGAUGACAAACAGCGGCGUGGGGCCGGUCGUCAUCUCUACCACAGAUUCGAAAGGGGAAAUAAGAAGACAUCCCUUCGAAGUGAGCAGGCGGCCCGACCAUACUGCUAUGGCGAGGUGGGCAACAUUGUACUGUACAAGCUGCUCGUCGAACCCGUGGCCCUGCUUCCACCUGUCAUUAUUUCUUCUUCCAACGGCUUCGUCCACUAUUAACACAUUCGCAUUUUAAUAAUCACUGAAUCCUGGGUAUCCUAGAGCUUUUAAUUCUUGAAAGGGGCGACCACCCUCUAUCCCCCAGACGUUCUAAAAAGAAACGGGUUGGGAAAAGAAGGGAGGAACAAAAAAAAUAAAAUAAAAUAAUAACGGGUCAUGUUUAGAAGGUGCAGUUCACACAAGUCCCACAAUCCCCGUUCUGAAACAUGGAUUGUAGCAGGAGAAACUGUGCUGAAAUCAGAAGAGAAAUGCCCAGCCUCCCCCUUUUCGAUUUCGCUCCUCUCUCACAUCUCCCAUGAUUCACGGUUGCCGCAAAAUUCCACAAUCAGCCUUUCCAGGUCGGCCAACUUGUAUGGUUUCGUCAUAUAGCCUUCCAUCCCCACUUUGGUAGCUCGGCCCAACGCCUCAUCCGUGACAUCCGCACUGACUGCUAGGAUAGUCGGGCUGGGUGGUAAUAAAACGUCCGGGUUCGCACUCCGCAUUCUAUCACGAUGACUCCCAACCAUAUCCAGUAUUUCCUCCGUCGCCUGAUAUCCGUCCAUAUCGGGCAUCCAGAGAUCCAUAAGGAUGACGUCAACGAACUUCGAUUUGGGCACCUGCUUGAUAGACGGCUCGUUGAAUGUUGACAUUUGGCAGUCUUCUAUGAGCGACGUUAUCGUGUCAGUGCUCAUUUCGGAGACACUUCGACUAGAAGGGCUUUGCGGGGGUGGUCCUGGGUCGGGGGCAACGUCGUUCAAGAUCAUCUCGCUCAUAAUACGAACAGCUUCUUUGCCGUUGAAAGCCUCAUAUACAUCGUUGUAUCCCAGCUUCGCAAGCAUGCUAACGAGAAUUCGUCUAUUGAUUUUGUUGUCUUCGGCUACAAGAAACGUGAGAGGGUGUUUGUCGGCAAGAUGGCGGUCAUAGCCAUUGGAGCUAAGAAGGGCGGAACCGCCACGGGAUGAAAUCGAUAGGCGACGUGAGGGUGCUAGCCAACCGCCGUUUGUGAAGCUCGAGCUUGCUCGAGCUGGUGCCGGGCGGUUUGAAGAAGGAUCCGACGGGGGAGUUUCGGAACCAUUCCCAACCGAUUUAGGCCCAUUUGUUUGACUGUCGCAACGUGAAGAUGGGUUCGAAUUCGAUUGGGAAACUGUGCACUCGUCGCGUUGAGGCGUGGUUGGCGGGCUGACACUGUCGUUGGGGCUUAUGGGUAGCCGGAUUUCGAAUUCGGAUCCACGAUCUGGUUCCCUCGUCGAAGAACGACGGCAUCUUAAAUCACCGCCAAGCUUCCUAGACAAGCCCUUGGCGACUAACAGCCCGAGUCCCAAGCCUUCCUUGCUCCUCGUUGUAGAGUCGUCUUCCCGAGCAAAAGGCUGGAAGAGGUUUGGAAGAAAGUCCUCUGGAAUACCGGUUCCAGUAUCGCUGAUAUUAAUUAAAACGCACUUGCCCGAACUACUCAACUUUGUAACAAGCGUAAUGGUUCCAGACUCUGUAAACUUGAGAGCGUUGAUAAAGACGCAGGACACCAACUUGGUAAAGUCUCUUUCGUCGACAUAUAAGAUAUCCGGCACUGACGGGUCGACAAACCAAUCGAUAAUCUUUGUCGAAGCCCGUCCAUUUGAAGAUCUUGACCUAAUCUCGAUUUUUUGCCCAAACAUGUUCGGCUCAACGAAAGCGGAAUCCGGACGGCCUCCUACAUGGAGUGAUUCGUGGAUAAGCGGUUGGAGUAUCUCACGGAUUUUGGUGGACUGCAGUGUCAUCGGAGGGAAGACCUUGGGUUUAACGUAUAUGCUAGAACACGAAAACUGCUCGGGGAUUGAGGCGCGUCGUGCAUUGAUCAAAGCUUCUUGGACUUCGUUGUCUUCCUCGACUCGCGGGCCGGCUUGAACGAUUUUGUCGCUCUCUUCAACUACCGUCUUGACAUCUGCGCUUCGGGGUGAGAGUUCUCGUCGACGUAAUCUGGGUGAUCUGGAUCCUGACGGAGGGCUAUAAUUCCAAUCAACUGGACUACUCCUUCUACGCUUGUAUGGAUUUACAGCAAUGUUGUUCCCUUCGAUUAGGAUAUUCGGACGAGUAUCGUAUUCUCCACUAUAUGACCGCAAAGAAGCUCCAGUACUUUGCUCACCAGCCUGGUUCUGGGGUGUUUCAGGUAUUUGCAUAUUUAGAUCGCCAUUAACACGACUUGACAUCCAAAAUAAUGGAACGGCGCCAACUACGCUAAAUAUCGAAGACGGAACUAACCUUGGAUUGCCUCAAUGUUAUCUUUGAGCUCCUGGAACACGGGAAUUACUCCUGCUGCAUCGAGACGCUUGUCCAUUGCUUCUUGCACGUUGGCAUGCAUGACAUCCAGCAUCCCAACCACCCCUUGCAUCGGUGUUCUUAACUCAUGGGAUAGGCUCCUUGCAUACGGUUUGAACGACUGUGAGCCUGUCGUGGAGUGAUGAUAGACCGUGGGUCUACUUGCUUUUGCUCUGCCUCUUCGCUGUUGUUCGUCUCUUUUCUGGACGAGCGUUGGCUUCUUGUAGUUCUGUUCGUCCAGGAUGCGGUGUUGUACAAAGUCCUCCAAGGAAUGUAGGAUCAUCUCAAGAUAUGCCCAGGAGACAUCACGCCUCGCUAAACCUUCAGCGGUCCACAUCAGCCCAAAAUGAGCAAAACAUUUUCCACCCGAGAACAAAGGGACAGCUAAGUAGGCAUCCAUUGGGAAUGGGAGCAUAUUUGGGCCAUUGCUUAUGUAUGAAGUCAAGUUUUCCGGGAUGAGGAAAACCUUGUCGUGCUUCAUGAAGUCACAAGGUAUAUCCCGAGCGAGAUGCUUGUAGUUUCUAUGCAUCGCUGAGAUCGA